rfam:Arthrobacter sp. SRS-W-1-2016 contig1, whole genome shotgun sequence.
GGCUGGUACCGCGGGAGCCGCGGCGGCGGUCACAAUCGCCGCGCGGCUGAGAGGGCUUCAGCGCCGACCGCUUGACCUGAUCCGGCUAGUACCGGCGUAGGGAAGGACUCCAUGGAAGAA